rnacentral:rRNA from 1 species
GACGGAGGAUGCAAGCGUUAUCCGGAAUGAUUGGGCGUAAAGCGUCCGCAGGCGGCAGUUCAAGUCUGCUGUCAAAGCCCGGGGCUUAACUUCGGAAAGGCAGUGGAAACUGAACAGCUAGAGUAUGGUAGGGGCAGAGGGAAUUCCUGGUGUAGCGGUGAAAUGCGUAGAGAUCAGGAAGAACAUCGGUGGCGAAGGCGCUCUGCUGGACCAUAACUGACGCUCAGGGACGAAAGCUAGGGGAGCGAAUGGG